rnacentral:rRNA from 1 species
CCUACGGGAGGCAGCAGUCGGGAAUCUUGCGCAAUGGGCGAAAGCCUGACGCAGCGACGCCGCGUGGGUGACGAAGUCCUUCGGGAUGUAAAGCCCUGUCUAGUGAGACGACAUGUCCUAACGAUGAAUAAUCGUUGGGAUCGACGGUAUCACUAAAGAAAGCUUCGGCUAACUCCGUGCCAGCAGCCGCGGUAAGACGGGGGAAGCAAGUGUUGUCCGGAAUUACUGGGUGUAAAGGGCAUGUAGGCGGAUUGAUAAGCCUCAAUGGAAAGCCUCCGGCUUAACCGGGAAAGUGCAUCCGAUACUGGUGGUCUUGAGGGUCGGAGAGGGACGUGGAAUUCCCGGUGUAGCGGUGAAAUGCGUAGAGAUCGGGAGGAACACCAGUGGCGAAGGCGGCGUCCUGGCCGACACCUGACGCUGAAGCGCGAAAGCGUGGGGAGCGAACGGGAUUAGAUACCCUUGUAGU